GUCUACAGCCAUGCCACUCUGAACAAGCCCAAUGUCUGAUCUUGGAAGCUAAGCAGGGUCAGUCCUGGUUAGUACUUGGAUGGGAGACCACUUAGGAAGACCAGGUGCUGUAGGCA
rnacentral:rRNA from 1 species